rnacentral:lncRNA from 1 species
GGCAGCUUAUCAGCUGGUGAUGUCUGUGUGGUUAAAAAACGGCCCAAUAUUGAGUUUGGAUAUAUUUUGAGGGCAGAGCUGACAAGAUUUGCUGAGGAACUGUGACAUGUGAGACAAGCCAAGGAAGACCCCAGGGUCUGGGCUUCUACUCUAGAGGGAUGCAGCUGUCUUUUACCGAGAUGAGGAACCCUGUAGAGAGGCAGGGAUAGGGCGGCCUCAGCACUUCUGUGGGAAACCUGUGGGUGUGAGUUCCAGUAGACAAUCAGGAGGAGACGCCGAGAAGACAGCUGAAUCUGCAGAUCCACAGAGGGACCUCUGAGGGCCACCUGUGGUCGGGUGGUGUGUGACAUCGGGAGACUAGUGAGAUCCAGGGCUGAGUGGAGACAGAAACAAGAUGGCCCAGGGGCCGUGCCCUGACUUCUUCCUCCAUUUCGCAGCCAAGGAGGUGAGGAGGCGUGAACAGAAGAGGGGGAGAAGGGAUAGCGCCCACAGGGGAGAUCCCAGGGCCAGAACCCUGGAAGCCACGUGAAGAAACUGGAUUAUGGAGGAAGGUGUGGAGCCCAGCCCUGGUGAGACGGCCAGCUGCAGGAAGAAGAGACCAUCUAGCCCUUGGUGGCCUUGGGGAGAGCUCUUCAGGUAGAGAGGGUGGGAGCAGGUUCAUUGACAAGAGAGGGAGAGGUGGAGAUGGAAAAACAGGCUCCCUUCAAAGGGAGGAGAGAGGGGUUUGGAACCUGGAAGGCAAAGUGGGGCUGUGAAAAGCAUUUUAUUAAGAUGAGAGAAAUCACAGGUUAGGGCCUUCUGGAGCUUGGAGACUGGAGUAUGGUGUCCACGCCAAGGACCACACAUGGCCAUGGCCCAUUCCAUGCCUGGCUUCUCCCACGGAGUACACCCACGUAGGUUAGCUCCCCUAAGAAAAGAGUUCAGAUGCCGCUUUUCCUCUACAUUUAUGUGUACUUGAGUUUGUGCUAAGAUAAAUCCCUUAGUUUGACAUUAUUUAAAAAUCAAUAUGACAAACAUCUUAUUGUUCUAGAAUUACCAGAGUUAGAAAGCACUAUUUAAUUCAACAUUUUCAAAUGAGGAAACUGGAAUCCAAAGCGACUUCUUAAUGCAUAUGAAGUCAUAAAGCAUGUAUUGGGGUAUUGUGUUAACUUAACACUUUGUAUACCUCAUUCUUCAAAAAUGUGUGGAUUAAAAAAUCAUCUGAGCUGGGCACAGUGGCGCGCGCCUGUAAUCCCAGUGCCGCGGGAGGCAGAGGCAGAGGCAGGAGGAUUGCGAGUUCAAAGCCAGCCUCAGCAACAGCAAGGCACUCAGCAACUCAGUGAGAUCCUGUCUCUAAAUAAAAUACAAAAUAGGGCUGGGGAUGUGGCUCAGUGGUCAAGUGCCCCUGAGCUCAAUCCCCAGUACAAAAAAAAAAAAAUCUGAGUUUAGUGCUGAAGAAAAACAUGAAUUUGAAUAAUAUCUAAAAGUUGAAAGCUAUCAUAUUUCUCCUCAAAGAUAUAUUGAUGCUGAUAAAAUACAAGUAACUCACUAGGUGUUGUGGUUCAAGUUCAUGUGGAAUCAUCUCUGUAAAUGACAGAUCAUGAAAAUGACAGAACAUGAAAAGAAAGGAAGUCAUAAUAGAGCUGAUAUGCCGAUGAUAUGGCAAAGCCUAGACACACCUCUCUUUUUGGUUCAAAGCAAUAGCUGUUUCUAUGCUUAAUGUAGGGUUUGCGAAGAAAUAAUAAAAAGAGCUAGAGAACAAGGUUAGCAUCGUGUUUUGCCUGGGAUUAUUUCAAGUGCCACACCUCUAGGAUGUCUCUCGUAUUAAUCUCUCUGACAAAGGAAUAGACCCUGUGUCAAAUACUUCCUCACCAUACAGUCUGUCCACCUAUAUAACCCUAUUGUGUUAAGCAGUGUUGCUUUUUCCAAUCAGAGCUUCUUUUGAAAGAUUAUAUUGUAAUUUUUUGACACAGUUAAUCAAAGCAGCCAAUGAAAUUAAGCAAACCAGUAUGUUCUGUUUGUCCUCAAGUUUCUGGUUUAUAACUGUUCAGGAGAAAUGUAAAGAAUAAUAUGCUGUUAUUUCAUGUUAAUUUCCAAAUGUAAGCUGGGCAUGGUGGUGCACACUUGUAAUCCCAGUGACUUGGGAGGUUGAGGCAGGAGGAUCACAAGUUUGAGGCCAACCUCAGCAACUUAGGGAGACCCUGUCUCAAAAAGUAAAAAAGAGGCUGGGGAUAUAGUUCAGUUGUGUAGAGCCACUGGGUUCAAUUCCUAGUACCAAAACAAACUAAUAAUUUCCAGAUGUAACUGAGAGGAUCAAGUGAAUUAGAACAAGGCUAUUUACAGAACUAGUAAUAUAGGUGUUGGAUAAACAAUUGUUGAAUUCAAUUUUAU